AGGUAAGUUUUUAAAUGAGCUUAUAUGCAAGUCAAUGAUUCCGUCGUCUGUAUAUAAGCAAAGGAUUGGAAUAGAGUGAGCAUUGUGAAGCUUUUCCAAUACUAAGCAAACAUGAAAUACAUCUUCGUUGUCUUGAUCGCCUUCGCGCUCUUCUACAAUGCGAUAGCUCAAGAAGCCUGCGAUCCCGCGGGUCAAGAGCCCGGAUGCGAGUGCACUCAAGGUGAAGCAUUCUGGACCCAAACCGACGAGGGUUGUGUGUUUAGGUGCAAGGAUGGGGAUAAUCUCAACGAAUGUGAGGCCACGGAGUAGGUACAAAGACAAGUUUUUCGAGGUGUGCCACUGGUACACACUGUAUUUUAGUGAUUUGGUGUGAAGUCUGUUUAGAAUAAAGGUUACCUUGCAUUAA